GGGUCCGAUACUGCGUCAUUGGACUGCGGCAGGUCUCGGCACAGGUCCUUUGCGGCCUGACAGGCCUCAUAGCUGAGGCUCCCGGCUGCUUCCCCUGCUGCGGGUUCCUGCGCGCCUUCUCUGUGGUCCCGCCCCUACCGCGCCACUGCCACAGCCGCUGCAGUCUGUGCCGCCACUGGUUCCCGGCCGCAGCCGCUGCAGUCUCCGCCGCCUGACCAACUCCGGCCUUCGCCCCCGCCGCCCUAGCCGCCGCCCCAGCCGCCGCCGCCACCGGAGCAUCCAUUGUAAUUCUUCAACUGGAAGAUACCAGUGGAAAUAUUGAAGAGGAAUGGGAUGGAUGGGAGAAGGAAGAGAACAUGGGAGGAAGAAGAGGAAAGUGGAAGUAGAUAAGGGAAAGAAGAAGGGCGACAUCAUUUUUCAUUCAUAAUUCACAGAUGAUCUCAAGACCAGACUGAGAUAACAAGAGCCUGUGAGCAGCAACCAGAAGAGCGACAGCAGCAACAAAGUUUACUGAAGAACUCAUGGAAGAACAUUUAGACAUUGGAGGCAGGAGAGCUUGGAAUUAAAGGUUAUCCUUGGCCUGAGAGCAAGUUCUGGGAUUCUAACUUUGGCUACUUAAGAACUCAUCUAAAAAAUAAAUAAAUAGGGCUAGAAAUGUGA